rnacentral:rRNA from 1 species
AGAAUCAACGCUGGCGGCGUGCCUAACACAUGCAAGUCGAGCGCGAAAGGGGAGCAACUCCUGAGUAGAGCGGCGAACGGGUGAGUAACGCGUGGGUAAUCUACCUUCGAGUGGGGAAUAACCCCGGGAAACUGGGGCUAAUACCGCAUGACAUCGUCCGGGCCUUCGGGUCUGACGAUCAAGGCCGGGGACCGCAAGGCCUGGCGCUUGAAGACGAGCCCGCGUCCGAUUAGCUAGUUGGCGGGGUAAUGGCCCACCAAGGCGACGAUCGGUA